AACGAACGCUGGCGGCAUGCCUAACACAUGCAAGUCGAACGAGACCUUCGGGUCUAGUGGCGCACGGGUGCGUAGCGGGGGGGAACCUGCCCUUAGGUUCGGAAUAACUCCCCGAAAGGGGUGCUAAUACCGGCUAAUGUCUCCCGACCAAAGGUUUAUCGCCUUUGGAUGGGCCCGCGUUGGCUUAGCUAGUUGGUAGGGUAAAAGCCUACCAAGGCGACGUUCCAUAACUGGUCUGAGAGGAUGAUCAGCCACACUGGGACUGAGACACGGCCCAGACUCCUACGGGAGGGAGCAGUGGGUAAUAUUGGACUAUGGGCUAUAGCCUGAUCCAGCAAUGCCGCGUGAGUGAUUAAGGCCUUAGGGUUGUAAAGCUCGUUUACCCGGGAUGAUAAUGACAGUACCGGGAGAAUAAGCACCGGCUAACUCCGUG
rnacentral:rRNA from 1 species